AUCACUUCUCAGCCUCCUGGCUAAGAUUAAGUGUAGUAUCUGUUCUUACCAGUUUAAAGUUAACUUUCUGCCAUGUAACACUAUAAUGUAAGAAUCAACUGCCUACUCAUUUAUCCACAAAUAUAAGGUAUUCCUUCAAAGUCUAAAACUUUGCUUUCACAGUUCUAAGACUAUAAAAACCCUUU